AACGCACCUUGCGCCCUUUGGUAUUCCGAAGGGCAUGUCUGCCUCAGCGUCCUGCAUCCUUGCCCCCUUCCCUCACCCCUCGUGGGCCGAGGCGAUCGGGCGAGCUGGCCGUCUCGGGGAGGGCGAGCUUCACCGCUCCCCCUCCCCGCGUCUGCCGAAACGCAGCGCGAGCGCGAGCCGCGACGGCACGGUCCGUCGUCGGAGCUUGGAUGGCGAUCCCUCGUGGUCUUCGAAGAGCUCCGGCGGCCGGUCCACGGUCGAUCGCUACUCGCCGAUCUCGCCACGCCAGGACGAUCCUCACGAAUCGGACCUGAGCUCAGGCAAGGCUACCCGCUGAACUUAA
rnacentral:misc_RNA from 1 species